ensembl:lncRNA
GGGCGGCAGGGACAGGGCGGCGUGAAUGGGCAGAGCAAAGAGGCUCGCCGUGGUGCUCGAGAAAUUGAGAAAUCGAGAAGGAGAUAUUAUGGUGACGAGGGCAGAGGUCCGCGUGCUGUCUGUACUCUCAGAGCUUGCUUAAGCCACAAAGCUGAUAUCUGCCCUCCUUCUUACAAAGGAACCUCAAAUCCCAAGGCUGUUUGGGAGGUGUCCCCGAAAAGAAUGACCAUAACCCUCUGCCCUCCCCGUUCUGAUUUUUCAAUCAAUCAUUGGGUCCUGAUUCAUCCAUGAAGACAACCACCAAAGCGGAAAAGGCAGUCCUCGUGAGCACUGUGUGUUUGCUGGACAGGAUGACUUAAGCUCCUCGAGGGCAAGACCAUGGUCGAUUUCUGCUUACUGUUGAUUCCUGGCAUCUACACCGGACUUGAGGCAUAGAAGCUGUUCCAUAACUACUUCCUGAAUGAAUGAAUGAACGGACACCCGGCAUCCUAAGUCAGGGGAGUGCCCCGGAAGACAGGAAACAGUCAUUCUCACACUGCCGCCAGUUCCCUGCCUGCCUGUCCUUAUGUCCUUCUUUGUUUCUGUUGCUUAAUUGCACCUUUUCCCAUCUGACUGCCUGGCUGGGAAUUCAGCUCUGGGGGGGCUCGGAGCAAAGUCAACGGCUUUGCUCCCGCAGCUCCUGUGCUGGCCCAAGCGGUCCUGCCUGCUGAGGCCUAAAUGCACUGAUCAGGGGAAGCAGCGACCCCCCUCUCCCUCUUAUGCAGAUGCUUCCUGGAUUGUAUGCCUGCCCCCUGCCCCUUUCCCAGGACGCCCCUGCCAGCCGUAAGCUAAGAGGGCUGACCACCAGCUUACUGUCCAUUAUUUAAAUGGUUGGGUGUGGGGACGAGGGGUUACUGAGCUCUGAGGAUGGAGAAGGGCUCCUCUUUUCAGCGAACAACCUCUUUAAGAGCAGAACGUUGGGAGUGGCCAGGGGGCUGGGGCUCGCUCCCUGCUCCCCAUCUCCCACCUCCAUCUCCCUGCGUCCACGGAGCUGGGAGCCCCUCCCCUUCCACAUCUCACUGUGCAUCUCUGAUCCCUUGCAGCCCACCCUGCCCAUCCGACCUCACUGGCCCUCCUGGUCCUGGUCCCCUCCUGUUUGUUCCUUCCCAGAUUCUGAUUCCUCAAGGCUCAGCCCUCCAAGUUCUUCUCUGGUGUAGACGUUCACUCUUGGUAGCUUGUCUCUAAGCGGCCCGGCAGCUCCCCGCUCCUCCCUGGAACCCCAGCCUGGCAUCCUGGGGCAGCCUCUGGGAUGACCCCUGAGGUCCCCUCCACUUGAGGUUCACCUCCCCUGAGUGUGGGCUGGAUCCAUGACUUGCUUCUGAGAAAUCGGAUGCAGCCAAAGCGAUGGGAGGCUGCUUCCGCAGUUGGCUCCCAUCGCUGGCCCUCCUGCCCUUCCCUUUGCUGGCUACACACAGGCAGCUGCCUGCUGCGCGCUGCCCUAAGGACAGGCCCACAUGGCGAGGAGCUGGGCGUGGCCUCUGGCCAACAGCCAGUGGGGACCUGAGGCCCUCAGCCCAAAGCUGUGAAGGACAGCACUGCAGCCCGAGAGACCCUGAAUCACAGGACCCGGCGAGGCCACACCCAGACGCUGGCCCCAGAAACUGUGAAAUACCAUUUGUUUUAAAGCUCUAAGUUUAGGGGUCAUUUGUUACGCAGCACUAGAUCACUGAUACCGCAUCUAACUUCCUCCUCUACUUGGAUGUGGAAAGGACAUCUCAGAUUUAACACUGCUAAACCAAAUCUCAAUUUCCUAUCCUAAGAGAAGAGAGAACAGAAUAUACCAAAAUAAAGAAACACAGGUGCUUUGGGGCAGAGAGAGUCGAGGAAACGGAGAGUUCAGGUGACCCAUCCGCCUGAGAAAUCUCCCAGAAGGAAGCAGCUCAUAUGUGAAAGUCAGAAAACAGUAAUUAUCCCAUAGGUGCAGGUGGGCACCAAACUCAGGGGAAAACUCAGCCAAACUUCCUGCUGAUAAGCCUGCCUGAUUAGCGGGAUUGGUUGGAGGGGUUCAUGGUGCACCUGCCGGCACGGACACUGGCCAGUGGAUGUGCACGGCCAGAGCCGGGAAAGGAAGGGCAUCACCACUGUGACAAGAGCCACAGAAGCUCAAGCCCGGGUGUGCAUCCUUUGGACAUUUCAAAAAAUCCACCCCAAACCCAGUCACAUCGUUCAAACACUUUCUAAGAUGAGCAUCUGACCAAGCAUUAACUAUCUUGAUGCUUUCAGCUUCCUCCUUAUGUGAGCAAUUGUCAGAUUUUAUUCCAAGUUUCUCUGGAUAAAAAAUGGCAAAAUUUGAGCUCACCCCCCUCCACACCUCCAUUCCAGGCAGAGCUAGGAGGAGAAUCCUAAAUGUGAACACUGAGAGAUAAGCUCCCUCCGUAUGCUUUGUGUUUUUGUAACACCGUAUAUUGAGAUUGCGUGUGAAAUAAAGUGUGUUCUUUCACA